rnacentral:lncRNA from 1 species
CUCCUGCCGGCGGCGAGGUCGAGGAGGUUCCGUCCACGGAGGUGGAACUCGGCCGGCAUCGACGACAGCAAGCAUGAGGUUCCAAGUGGCCCAAAUCCAGACUCCAAUAGAUGAUGACAGAUUCAUGCCAUGUUCUUCAGUGUUGCUUGCUCCUCAGCUUCUGGAGCUUACAGUUUAGGUGUCUGCCUCCUCAAUCCUCAUCUUCUUCUUCUUUUUCUUUUCUUUUUAAUAUUUUGGUAUGGUUUUCUUUUCGGCUUUAUUAUCCUUCAGCUAGAAUAUCCCUGAUAAGAGAUUGUACAAACAGAUGGGCAUUUGCUCUAGAUUAAUACUCUCUGCUCAUGCACCAUUGCAUUGGAUCAUAGUAUCAUACUAUAUCAUUUCUGUGAUAAUUCCAACAAAAUAAACAUCGCUAAGCAUGUGCAUAAACAGAUAU